UGGGGAAUAUUGGACAAUGGGCGAAAGCCUGAUCCAGCCAUGCCGCGUGUGUGAAGAAGGUCUUCGGAUUGUAAAGCACUUUAAGUUGGGAGGAAGGGCAGUAAGCGAAUACCUUGCUGUUUUGACGUUACCGACAGAAUAAGCACCGGCUAACUCUGUGCCAGCAGCCGCGGUAAUACAGAGGGUGCAAGCGUUAAUCGGAAUUACUGGGCGUAAAGCGCGCGUAGGUGGUUCGUUAAGUUGAAUGUGAAAGCCCCGGGCUCAACCUGGGAACUGCAUCCAAAACUGGCGAGCUAGAGUAGGGCAGAGGGUGGUGGAAUUUCCUGUGUACCGGUGAAAUGCGUAGAUAUAGGAAGGAACACCAGUGGCGAAGGCGACCACCUGGGCUCAUACUGACACUGAGGUGCGAAAGCGUGGGGAGCAAACAGG
rnacentral:rRNA from 1 species